GUGCUUCUGUAUGACAGCCCAUGAAGUACAGUCAGAAGGACACAGAGAAGAUCUGCCUGGUCCCAGAGCAAGGAUGACAUGCAAAUGUGGGAAGCAUCCCAGGGUUUG
ensembl:snRNA Gm23117 predicted gene, 23117